rnacentral:rRNA from 1 species
AUGUGGAGCGCUUAGAAGUGAGAAUGCCGGUGUGAGUAGCGAAAGACGGGUGAGAAUCCCGUCCACCGAUUGACUAAGGUUUCCAGAGGAAGGCUCGUCCGCUCUGGGUUAGUCGGGUCCUAAGCUGAGGCCGACAGGCGUAGGCGAUGGAUAACAGGUUGAUAUUCCUGUACCACCUAUAAUCGUUUUAAUCGAUGGGGGGACGCAGUAGGAUAGGCGAAGCGUGCGAUUGGAUUGCACGUCUAAGCAGUAAGGCUGAGUAUUAGGCAAAUCCGGUACUCGUUAAGGCUGAGCUGUGAUGGGGAGAAGACAUUGAGUCUUCGAGUCGUUGAUUUCACACUGCCGAGAAAAGCCUCUAGAUAGAAAAUAGGUGCCCGUACCGCAAACCGACACAGGUAGUCAAGAUGAGAAUUCUAAGGUGAGCGAGCGAACUCUCGUUAAGGAACUCGGCAAAAUGACCCCGUAACUUCGGGAGAAGGGGUGCUCUUUAGGGUUAACGCCCAGAAGAGCCGCAGUGAAUAGGCCCAAGCGACUGUUUAUCAAAAACACAGGUCUCUGCUAAACCGUAAGGUGAUGUAUAGGGGCUGACGCCUGCCCGGUGCUGGAAGGUUAAGAGGAGUGGUUAGCUUCUGCGAAGCUACGAAUCGAAGCCCCAGUAAACGGCGGCCGUAACUAUAACGGUCCUAAGGUAGCGAAAUUCCUUGUCGGGUAAGUUCCGACCCGCACGAAAGGCGUAACGAUUUGGGCACUGUCUCAACGAGAGACUCGGUGAAAUCAUAGUACCUGUGAAGAUGCAGGUUACCCGCGACAGGACGGAAAGACCCCGUGGAGCUUUACUGUAGCCUGAUAUUGAAAUUCGGCACAGCUUGUACAGGAUAGGUAGGAGCCUUUGAAACGUGAGCGCUAGCUUACGUGGAGGCGCUGGUGGGAUACUACCCUAGCUGUGUUGGCUUUCUAACCCGCACCACUUAUCGUGGUGGGAGACAGUGUCAAGCGGGCAGUUUGACUGGGGCGGUCGCCUCCUAAAAGGUAACGGAGGCGCUCAAAGGUUCCCUCAGAAUGGUUGGAAAUCAUUCAUAGAGUGUAAAGGCAUAAGGGAGCUUGACUGCGAGACCUACAAGUCGAGCAGGGUCGAAAGACGGACUUAGUGAUCCGGUGGUUCCGCAUGGAAGGGCCAUCGCUCAACGGAUAAAAGCUACCCCGGGGAUAACAGGCUUAUCUCCCCCAAGAGUUCACAUCGACGGGGAGGUUUGGCACCUCGAUGUCGGCUCAUCGCAUCCUGGGGCUGUAGUCGGUCCCAAGGGUUGGGCUGUUCGCCCAUUAAAGCGGUACGCGAGCUGGGUUCAGAACGUCGUGAGACAGUUCGGUCCCUAUCCGUCGUGGGCGUAGGAAAUUUGAGAGGAGCUGUCCUUAGUACGAGAGGACCGGGAUGGACAUACCUCUGGUGUACCAGUUGUCGUGCCAACGGCAUAGCUGGGUAGCUAUGUGUGGACGGGAUAAGUGCUGAAAGCAUCUAAGCAUGAAGCCCCCCUCAAGAUGAGAUUUCCCAACUUCGGUUAUAAGAUCCCUCAAAGAUGAUGAGGUUAAUAGGUUCGAGGUGGAAGCAUGGUGACAUGUGGAGCUGACGAAUACUAAUCGAUCGAAGACUUAAUCAA